rnacentral:rRNA from 1 species
AACGAACGCUGGCGGCAUGCCUAACACAUGCAAGUCGAACGAGACCUUCGGGUCUAGUGGCGCACGGGUGCGUAACGCGUGGGAACCUGCCCUUAGGUUCGGAAUAACUCCCCGAAAGGGGUGCUAAUACCGGAUAAUGUCUUCGGACCAAAGAUUUAUCGCCUUUGGAUGGACCCGCGUUGGAUUAGCUAGUUGGUAGGGUAAAAGCCUACCAAGGCGACGAUCCAUAGCUGGUCUGAGAGGAUGAUCAGCCACACUGGGACUGAGACACGGCCCAGACUCCUACGGGAGGCAGCAGUGGGGAAUAUUGGACAAUGGGCGAAAGCCUGAUCCAGCAAUGCCGCGUGAGUGAUGAAGGCCUUAGGGUUGUAAAGCUCUUUUACCCGGGAUGAUAAUGACAGUACCGGGAGAAUAAGCGCCGGCUAACUCCGUG